GUGGGCCUUGGCGAGUACACGCCCACAACACAAAACAAUCACCUAAACAAGGAUAAAUUAUUUCCUAAACUUUAUCAAGUGGCUGUGAGGAAAGUAGUUAAUAGUUCUAGUGUCCAUUACUGGGACCCCAGCCACGCUCCAGGACCAUGGACAGCGACAACCCUUCAGCUAGGCGCUCCAGGGGUCUGGCAAGGUGAUUGGAGUGCCCCCUGGGGGCAGAUCCUCGACUAGUCUCAAAUGCAGAAGAAAGAGGGCUGGGAAACGGGACUGGUGACCUUCUGUCCCUCAGGACAGAGGUGCUGGGCAGGGGACAGCCAAGCUCCUCCUCAGUCUACCCUGAAAACCUCCUCUUCCAGGGGGUUAGGGGACUUAGCUUCAGAGACACAAUGCAUUUCUCACAGGCCACUGAGUUCCUUUCCCUCAGGACUGACUACCCUCACCCUUAGCAGAAAAUCUUCUGUGUCAGGUUUCUCCUCUUUCUCCCCUCACUUUCCAGUAGGUUGAUAUUCUGCGCUUGUUUUUAACCCCUUUGUCCUACUUCCACGGGACUCUGGAUGAUAGAGAACAUGGUUAUGAUCAUUUUCUAUGCCUGGUGGUCUGUCAAGUCCUGAUUCAGCCUAAAUAAAGGAAUGAAGUCUCAGAAAUCUGGUUUAACUGAUAGGUCACAAAAGUAAAUUCUAAGUUUUCCUUCAUUCUACAUGAACGGUAAAUAUUCAGAGUGGGGAAAGGAUCUUGGGGCCUCAAUGGACCACUGCACAGAGAAUUAUGAAGAGUAGAGAAAGCCAGGCAAGGUCAGGAAAAAGUAGUAGUGGGGUAAGGAGAGGAAGAUUCGAUAGAUGCUAUAAAGAGGGAAGGUUUUCUGGGACUGGAGGAAUUGAUAAGAGGUUAGAACUCAUUCUCAAGGCGUGAUUGCAGGACUCAUUAGAAACCUGAGAGUCGACUGAGAGCCAUCUACAGAUCCAGCGGCUUUCUGAACUCAGAUUGACCCCAGAAACCUGGAAACACCACAUCUAAUUCUGGGCUGGAGCCAGCACCUCACUUCCCAGUUUCAGCCUCUCAUUAUUGUCAUGCUUUUUGAGCUCUGGUUCUCUCUGUCCCUCUUCGGUGCUGACCCUAAUACCUGACAUUUGCAUCCUGGCGACCCUGGAGUCAAGGCACAAGGAGAUCCUGAAUCCCCUGCUAGGGUCUGGUGAAGGGGUAGGACACCCAGCUGGCAAGGGAGUGUCUCUUANNNGAUGGGCUGAUCCCAAUGCUCUUCCCUUCUGCCCAGUAUUUUGGCCCCUCCAGUCCUGCCUGCCUCGUUGGCCCCACACUUCAUUUCUGUCUCCAGCCCUGUGUUGCUACUGAAAGUUCAGCUCAGCUUAGCUUAUGCUUUCUGCUUGCUUUCUGUGCCUUCUGGCCCCUCCUGCUGAACGAGCUGCUCUUUUUUCUGGGCUCUUAGCUGCCUUGAUAGCUAUUUGAUGUGUUCAAAUAGCGUGUGUGUGUGUGUGUGUGUGUGUGUGUGUGUGUGUUCCUAGUUGGUCUUAGUGGAAGCGUUACUGACAUGAGAUAUUCCAUUAAGGCUGGAAACCUUGUUUGCUUUAUUUGGUACUGUUUUAAAGAUUUAUUUGGCUGCACCAAGUCUUAGGGCACACGGGAUCUUUCCUUGUGGUAUGUGGGAUCUAGUUCUCUGACCAGAGAUCGAACCCAGGCCCUCUGCAUUGAGAGUGCUGAGUAUUAUCCACUGGACCACCACGGAAGCCCCUUGUUUGCUUUAUUUUAGUCUUUGCUCAAAAGUCACCUUCUCAAAGAGGCCUUGGCCUCUCAAAACUAAAAUAGGACUCUUCACUCCCUUUCCCCUUAUGUUGUUUUGUUUCCUAUUCAUAGCACCCAUCAUUAUGACUUCAUGUUACAUAUUUACCUAUUACCUCUCUCCCACAAGAUUGUAAACUCCGCGACCAAAUGGCUUUAAUUUUUUUAAAAUUUUCUCUCCCACCAAUGUCUAGAAAUGCCCUUGCAGACAUCAAGGGCUCCAUAAAUGUGGAAAGAAUGAUGUUCUGUUAUCUAGUGGAAACACACAUCUGGUUUCUGUCCCCAGAGUUCAGUUCAAUUAGGGAGAACAAGGCCCCAAAGGGCUGAAUGGCCACACGAUAAGGACAGGACCCAGCAGCUGGGGUUUGGGAGAUUCCCGAUGUCCUGGGCUGGGCAGGGUGGGAGAAGAGAUUCAGGGACACUUCCAGGAGGCUCCUGGAGGAUGUGAGCAGGAAGAUGGGAAAGGAGGGAAUUUCUAACAAAGGAGCAGCCCAGCAAAGCUUGGAGGUGGGACUGAGGACCCCAAGCCUCCUCAGGCGUCAGGCAGGCAGUUUCCGAGCCUCACACCUGUCUGGAUCGGCAGGGCAGAAACCCCAAAAUCGAGCGCCCCCUGGUGGCCAAACCUUCGUGUGACCAGCCAAGUCGGACAGCAUUUAUUGAGCGCUUUAUCAAAUAUUCACAACAGUGCUUUGGAGGGAGGCCUUGAUUCCAUUUUCAGCGGAGCAAAUGGAAGAUUCGAGAGGUUAAGUCACUGACCCAAGCUCACCCAGCUCUGCCUCUGGAACCUGAAGUCUGGAGAGCCGCCCCAGUUGCUCUUCAUCCAUCAGAGAUUCAGGUGGUAGUGGGGAUAAGGACUAAUUCCACCGUNNNNNNNNNNNNNNNNNNNNNNNNNNNNNNNNNNNNNNNNNNNNGCUCCAGAGAGGUGACCUCAGGCCAGUUAUGGGCCUCGGGCUACAGCCAAUGAGAU
rnacentral:lncRNA from 1 species